GUCUUCGUGGUGUAGUGGUCAGCACGCUCGACGCGUAACCGAGAGGUCCGUGGUUCGAUUCCCGGCAAAAGCG
rnacentral:tRNA from 1 species